rnacentral:tRNA from 1 species
UGGCAUAAUGGUUAAGUGCUUUGGCUGCUAACCAAAGGGUCGGCAGUUUCAAUCUGCC